AGUGAACGCUGGCGGUAGGCCUAACACAUGCAAGUCGAACGGCAGCACAGUAAGAGCUUGCUCUUACGGGUGGCGAGUGGCGGACGGGUGAGGAAUACAUCGGAAUCUACUUUUUCGUGGGGGAUAACGUAGGGAAACUUACGCUAAUACCGCAUACGACCUACGGGUGAAAGCAGGGGAUCUUCGGACCUUGCGCGAUUGAAUGAGCCGAUGUCGGAUUAGCUAGUUGGCGGGGUAAAGGCCCACCAAGGCGACGAUCCGUAGCUGGUCUGAGAGGAUGAUCAGCCACACUGGAACUGAGACACGGUCCAGACUCCUACGGGAGGCAGCAGUGGGGAAUAUUGGACAAUGGGCGCAAGCCUGAUCCAGCCAUACCGCGUGGGUGAAGAAGGCCUUCGGGUUGCAAAGCCCUUUUGUUGGGAAAGAAAAGCAGAAGGUUAAUACCCCGCUGUUCUGGCGGUACCCAAAGAAUAAGCACCGGCUAACUUCGUG
rnacentral:rRNA from 1 species